rnacentral:lncRNA from 1 species
ACACACGACUGAAGAGCACAGUAGAUCCUUAACGAGCAGUGGUACCGUAAAAACCGAACAACCUUGUCGUAUUUUAAAGAUAAAAUUUAAGUUAAAAUACAGUUGCUGACAUUGAUGUUAUUUUUAAAUAACAUAUCACUGAUCAGAGUCUGUAAUUUAUGUUAAUAUGUAAAUUUUCAAACCUUUGCUUCAUCCUCCAUCCAUCCAGGCAAUGGUCCUGGUGAGACAGGCUAGGACACGGUCCUAGACACACAGAGGCUGGUUCGGUGGGGUAAGAUACAGAAAUCAGACACCUGGUGCUAUUUAUUCAGAAAGCUGGGGCUUCGCUAGCAGGAUGCUCCACCAGAUCUUUACAACAGUGUACGAAACUGUAAUGGCUCUAGCAGGAAAUGCACCACCUGAACUGAAUGGAGCAAUGGGAAUUCUGCAAGGGUGGAGACUUUGGGUGGGUGUGAGACAUUUAGUGUCAUUCCUGCGUCUCAUUUGUCUAUAACUGAUCCGCAGGUUUGAGUGUGUCUGACGCUGCUGAGCUGCUGACUUCAACUUCUAACACAUCUGGCUGGCUGGAACAGAGCUGUAUCGCCCAGACUCAUCUAUUAAAUUCCCUGCUACAGACCCUCACAAAAAACAGGAUUUCCUGAUUUUGUUUCCCUGGAGACGUGGCUCUUCCGACAAUGGUGUUUCAAUGGAUUCGACCCUCCCUUGGCAGCUUCACAAAAUUUCGACCAAUUCAAGACGUCCUUGGCAAAUUCACAGUAAUUCGACACGCUCAGGACUUCCUUGACAACUUCCCAUUUCACUUAGAUGGACGAAGAUGUGCAGAGCUCACUCACCAGUUGGUUAUACAGGUAUUUCAACAUAUUCAAGUCAUCCUCGGCAAAUUCAGAGUAUUUCGACCAAUUCAAGACUUCAUUGACAGCUUCAAAGUAAGGACUUUGUGUGUUUGAUAUUUGGGCACAUUUUUAUAAUCACAACAUGAUUAUAUGUUAUAAG